rnacentral:rRNA from 1 species
UACAGAGGUCUCAAGCGUUGUUCGGAUUCAUUGGGCGUAAAGGGUGCGUAGGCGGCGCGGUAAGUCGGGUGUGAAAUCUUGGAGCUUAACUCCAGAACUGCCUUUGAUACUGGCGAUCUCGAGUCCGGGAGAGGUGAGUGGAACUGCGAGUGUAGAGGUGAAAUUCGUAGAUAUUCGCAAGAACACCAGUGGCGAAGGCGGCUCACUGGCCCGGUACUGACGCUGAGGUGCGAAAGCGUGGGGAGCAAACAGG